AUUAAUAAUUAGGGCAUUCAAGCAAA
rnacentral:piRNA from 1 species